rnacentral:hammerhead_ribozyme from 1 species
AUCAAGCUGACAUGUCUCAAAUAAGACGAAACGCGCUUUCUAGAU